rnacentral:tRNA from 1 species
GCCAUAAUAGCUCAGCUUGGUAGAGCGAGGGUUUCGUAAACCCUAGGCCGUGGGUUCAAAUCCCACUUAUGGCU